rnacentral:rRNA from 1 species
AACCGUUUAUUUUUAUUCCUGGCUCAGAGUGAACGCUGGCGGUAGGCCUAACACAUGCAAGUCGAACGGCAGCACAGGAGAGCUUGCUCUCUGGGUGGCGAGUGGCGGACGGGUGAGGAAUACAUCGGAAUCUACUUUUUCGUGGGGGAUAACGUAGGGAAACUUACGCUAAUACCGCAUACGACCUACGGGUGAAAGCAGGGGAUCUUCGGACCUUGCGCGAUUGAAUGAGCCGAUGUCGGAUUAGCUAGUUGGCGGGGUAAAGGCCCACCAAGGCGACGAUCUGUAGCUGGUCUGAGAGGAUGAUCAGCCACACUGGAAGUGAGACACGGUCCAGACUCUUACGGGAGGCAGCAGUGGGGAAUAUUGGACAAUGGGCGCAAGCCUGAUCCAGCCAUACCGCGUGGGUGAAGAAGGCCUUCGGGUUGUAAAGCCCUUUUGUUGGGAAAGAAAUCCAGCUGGCUAAUACCCGGUUGGGAUGACGGUACCCAAAGAAUAAGCACCGGCUAACUUCGUGCCAGCAGCCGCGGUAAUACGAAGGGUGCAAGCGUUACUCGGAAUUACUGGGCGUAAAGCGUGCGUAGGUGGUCGUUUAAGUCCGUUGUGAAAGCCCUGGGCUCAACCUGGGAACUGCAGUGGAUACUGGGCGACUAGAGUGUGGUAGAGGGUAGCGGAAUUCCUGGUGUAGCAGUGAAAUGCGUAGAGAUCAGGAGGAACAUCCAUGGCGAAGGCAGCUACCUGGACCAACACUGACACUGAGGCACGAAAGCGUGGGGAGCAAACACGAUUAGAUACCCUGGUAGUCCACGCCCUAAACGAUGCGAACUGGAUGUUGGGUGCAAUUCUGGCACGCAGUAUCGAAGCUAACGCGUUAAGUCGCCGCCUGGGAACCCC